GCCCCAGACUCCUACGGGAGGCAGCAGUCGAGAAUCAUUCACAAUGGGGGAAACCCUGAUGCAGCGACGCCGCGUGAGCGAUGAAGUAUUUCGGUAUGUAAAUCUCUAUCAGCAGGGAAGAAGAUGACGGUACCUGACUAAGAAGCCCCGACUAACUACGUGCCAGCAGCCGCGGUAAUACGUAGGGGGCAAGCGUUAUCCGGAUUUACUGGGUGUAAAGGGAGCGUAGACGGCGAUGCAAGCCAGAUGUGAAAGCCCGGGGCUCAACCCCGGGACUGCAUUUGGAACUGUGUGGCUGGAGUGUCGGAGAGGCAGGCGGAAUUCCUAGUGUAGCGGUGAAAUGCGUAGAUAUUAGGAGGAACACCGGCGGCGAAGGCGGCCUGCUGGACCGCGACUGACGUUGAGGCUCGAAAGCGUGGGGAGCAAACAGGAUUAGAUACCCUGGUA
rnacentral:rRNA from 1 species